UCCAAGAGGUGAGGGUAGCUGCCCCGCUCGGCCCCAGCGAGCUCAGGGAUGGCUCCCUGAGCCAGUGGGCGACCCUUUUCCUUGCACAGAUGCGGACAGGCUGCUGGAGCGAGGCGUGCCUGCGUGGUCCGUCACACAGCCGGCAGAGUGGGAAUGCCUCAGCACCCCUGGGAGCCUGGGUGUAUCUCAUAUGCCAACCAGGGAAAAGUGAAGGGAAGGUCUGUAUGGCCACCAGGUCAGCCUGUGGGGGCAUUUUGAUUUAAUCAUGUCUCAUAUAUGGCCGGGGGUAUCGUAUUUUUCAGCUUUGCUUUUUCCAACAGUUUUAGAUACCUCAUGUGGGGAAAGUAGUAUCUUUUAAAGAAUACAUUCUAUAUUUGGUAGUGAGUGAUUCAAGGCAUGAAUGUGUCUGAAGGAGAAAGGCUUUUCAAGUAGCAUGUUGCUGGUCAAAGGUUUCUCCACAAAUUCUGCUGGGCUGUGCCUCUGAGUCGUGCUGCCCUCUCACCAGCCUGAGCCUUGAGGAAUCAAUUUGGGAACUGCUUGAGACUCUGCAUGAUAUUCUUCGAUGGUCUCUUCCUACUCCAAAAAAAUACAGGUAAAUGUCAGAGAGAAUAGGACAUUCCUGUUCCUUCCUAACAGCUUAGAUGGGUGAGUGGCAAGGCUUGAAAACCAUACAGAAAUGACUGAGAGAGGAGCACCAUCCCACAAGGAAACAGCUACUAAUGUUGCAGAGGUGGUGGGCUUGGAAAAAUUAGUUUUGGUGUUUUAUUAAGUACAGGACAACCUUAAAUAAAAAGGUGGAAAACCAGAUCUAAUUUAUCUUCAGCCAGUACCUUGACAGUAGGACUAACUGACAAAAUGAUGGGAACGGCCUCUAUUAACAUCCAGGCUGAAAAUCUCAAGUUGGCUCUAAUGCCAUGGGGCUGUAAAGAGGCACUUCAUACAUGCAAGCAUGUGCAAAGUGGUCCAAAGCAGAGAGCAUGGUCCAGGCAACAGCAGGAUCUGUGGGGGCUUUGCAGGAUUUCAGGCUCAGGCUUUGAGGUACCCAAGAGGACACUGAGAUGCUGCUGAAUUCAGAGCCUCUCUCACCAUUAAUGCCUCAAGUUGUUCUCCUUCUGCAUAACUACAGGUGCAUGGUACAGGCAGAACCUGGGCUGGUUGAACUUGGGAGCUGUGUUUGCAGCUGGUCUGCUACAUCCAGGAAUGCCAAGCGAUGCUGUGUGGCAGCACUUUGCAAACUGUGAAGGAUUUAGGUGCCAGAGGGGUGUGACACUGGCAGGACACUGGCAGGAGUGUCUCUGGCAGACCAGCAGAGCCGAGGGCCCUACACUGCACUGACAAGGGCAGCAUGUUUCAGACCUCCAGUGAAGUGCAUGAAGAGCCUGGAGCUGGCACGUUCCUGCUGUGGCUGCUGUGCUGCCCAUGAGUUUGCUAGGCCUGCCUUUAUCCCAUCAACAGCUUCUACUGAGUGGGAGCAGACCAGUGGAAUCAAGUGUUUCCCCUGCUAACAGCUGGACCCAGGUACCACAGAUUUCUCUUUGACCUUUCUGUAGUGGAGUUGUUUCAAGCAGAGACCAGUAUUUUUAGAAUUGCUUCCCCAUUUAAAACAGAAAACAUGCUCUCCUAAAAUCCAAUUUCACCACCUAUUAUUUGUCUUCCAUACAGUUACACUUGGAUACCAUCACACUUAUGCAGCAGACUAUACAAAUGCCUUGAUAUUUCACAUGCUCUCAGGUACCAUUUGUGCUCCUCUAAAGGCUUGGAAUCCUGGGCUACGGACAAGACACUUUACACAAAACAUAGCCAAAAGCAAACUCCUGUGUUGUCCAGCAAGCUUGACACCCUGAAUUAAUCUACUUGCAGCUGCUGAAGGGAGCCUUACGUCUCCUCCUCUGCUCCCACCCAUGGAGCUCUGUUGCUCACAGUGUCUAGUUUGACUCAAUAUAGCUUGCAAUAUGGGAAGCAGUAUUUUUGCAGGAUUUGUUUUCUUAUGGCGAUGUCCAUGAGCUAUUAGGUUGGCUCAGCUUCUGGGUAGACCAAACCUACUGCUACAGCCUGCUCCCCCCCUGCAGAAUUUGUGUUCUUGUAGUCACUCAUGUCAGAAUAGGGAGGUGCUUUCUGGAGGAUGAUGACACAAUGCCAGCCAACAGUUUUCUCGAACCACUGCUGGUUUUAUACUAGGCAAGGGCUCCUUUCUCUAUUUGAUGAACUCAAGUCAUGCAACUAUCUCAACUACUAUAUGCUGACUCACUAAACCUCACAGGUCAACUUCCUGUCAGUCCUGCCUGUGGCCCUAUGGAAAGAUGACCCAAUAUUCUUAAGCAAAUGGACCCAUACAGGAUGUAGAAAUUAAGAGUGCAGUAUCUAGGACUGAUAGCUACACUCUUGUUCUUGUCUGGUAAGACUUAAACAAAUUGCAAAUGAAGGCUGAAAUUCAGAAUGAAGUUGAAUUCUACGAAGUUUAAGAAGUCUGAUUCAAAACCUUGUAAUUAUCUUGGGUUUUGUAGUACCAUGUAGAUGUUUAGCACUUAGAAAACAUGGCUUUCCAGAUUCUACUAAAAUUUUAGACAGAUUACUGAAACAGAAGAAGGUACCUCAGAUUCAAAAAGAUAUACCUUUCCUGAAUGGUUAGAUUUUUUCGUGUUCUAGUUAUUUUCUGAGGUAUGAGAUUUACAGAUAAUCCUGCUAGUUGUCCUUCCAGUAAAGGACACGUUUUAAGGUAGAUUGUUGAAUGGAAUCCCUCCUAAUUCUUCAAAGGCAUUUCAGACCUACCCUUUCAAACUAAAGUGACCUGAGCCUGAGUUUUCCUGGCAUUACAUUCUGUCACAGCAGAAUGCAUUCCUGUCCAUCUUGUCCUGUUGCAUUCUAGGCUUCAGCAUGGCAAAACCACCACUCUGCAGAGGAAUGGAGUACCACAACUGUGAAAACUGAACUGGACCACAUACCAACAAUCCUUCAAUAAUGCGUUCCUUUAAAGAAGUGCAGGGUUACCAGUAGAAGGGACCACUAAAGACAGAAAUAACAUGCCAUAGGUCCAAAGUUUCAAAGGACUAUAGAGACAGAAAAGCUAUUUCCAAGUAUAGCAGACACUGCGCGGGAUGGGAGUUGUGCUAGACAGUGCACUUCCUUCUGAAUUUGUACUGUGUCACACAGAGACUGAGCUCCAAGACUUACACCAGUGAGGUACAAGUUACAAUGGACAAAUACAGCAUUGAGCUUACAACUGAAAUACAGGGUAGGUAUUAAGUUUUACAGUUCUUUCCAAGUUGGAUCUGAUUUCAUCUGUCAAAACCUUCUCUCAAGUUUCAUCAGAAGCUGGUAGACAUUGUUUCCUCUCCCACAUUAUAUUGCUACUUACCCCAAAGGCUGCAUCUUAGUUUUGAAACUGCUGCAUUUUGGUAUCUGGUAGAGGUAUUCUUAUUAUUUAUAGAGCAGUAUUACUUUCUCUGUAUCUACACAGCUCAAAUUACAACACACCAUUUUCAGCAAAUUGAUCGAGAAUUAAUUCAUCCCAGGACCUGCAGUUAACCAGGAACAGCCUGGAAGCAGGAGGCAAGGGCUUAAAGAGGCAAGGCUCUUUAAGAGUAAACUGGUCAUGGUUAGUUUAUUUGGAUCACAUCUGGGUACAGUACAUCUGGUGGGCAAUCUCAAAAAAGAGAAAACAAUGUCUCCUCCAAUUGGGCAUAGAGCUCAGGCUCUGGGGAUACUGUCACAGUGCUAACUCUCCAAGAAAGACCAGCACCUACAGGAACUCAGGUGUCCAGUUUUGAUACCAGCAUCUCCCUCAUGUAUCCAGGAUUUUUCUAGCGAGUGUCUUAAUGCUACUAUAUCGAUAAGCAGAAAACCCUACAAAUAAUGUCUUUUUUUUUAAACUUAUUUUUCUUCUCAUGUGUUCUUAAUCUCCACUGGGAAGUGGUAAAUAGACACACGUGAUUUCUAUUACCAGCCAGUUUCUAUUUAACAAUUCUGAGUCUCUUUACACCUCUUUUUCAUAAUAGCAGAUCUUUUUUUACAACUUUCUUGUAAUUUAUCUUGAGUUUUUUGUCUACUUUUUAAAUAGUCUGUUAAUAUUCUGGUUUAGUUCUUUAUAUGAAUUUAGUAAUACCAUAAGAGUGUACCCCUUAAUUUUAGAUACUUGACUAGAAAAAGAUGGUCCUCCACUAGUGUUAAGCCUAAUUACAUCUGAGUUUUAUUGCACUGAAAAACUUUUAUAUAUAAAAUCAAUCCCAUUACUGGUACUUCAAAUCUUUCUGUCUUAAAGCACUGCAGUUAUGUCCCAGGCCUGCAAUCAGAUCCAUGUAGGUAAACUACUCUAUUGACAACAUCCCACUUAAGUCAGACAGCUCUCAACAUGCACCCAGCUGUAGAAGAAAGAACAACUUUCAUAUUUAGAUUAAGUCCUAGACAACACAAUCUUCCUAAAGCAAAAUGCCAUUGACAGUAUUUGGCAAUACCCUGCUAAAUAGCAGGUUUUUAACAUCAUUUUCCCCUUCAAAGCAUAUGAACAGGAAUUAUUUCUCUUACACAUCAGUCUUUAAAGGAACACCUCAGUUACUGAAAGUCUAAAGUAACCACUAAUAGUUCUGGUUCCAGGAUGACAGACUCUCAUAUGUUUCACUAGCAACUUCUGAUAUUGCCAAACAAACUGCAAGUUCUAUACUAGUUGCAGAAGACUUUUUUUUUUUAAAUACUACAAUGGUCAGGUAAUUUUGCAUUUUCAUUUUUUACUGAAAUGUCCUUAUGUAUGUAUACUGAUGCAUUUUUAGAUGUUGUGUAUAUUAGCUUUCACUGGCUAAAAAUUAUUUCUGACACUGUUUAAAAAAACCCUGACUUCUUUUCCAAGUUACUUUUGCUUCUUAUUAAAAUAAAAAAUACAAAUUGCAAAAAAACCUUCUUCCUUAUGGCUGUGUUAUCUAUCUUACCAACAACUGAUUCUAAAGUAGAGUUACAAGUGACUAUGUAAACAAAUACAGACAUUUAACAAACAGAAGUAUUUGGCUGGGGUUUUUUUAACUACC